UGGGGAAUAUUGGACAAUGGGCGGAAGCCUGAUCCAGCCAUGCCGCGUGUGUGAAGAAGGCCUUUUGGUUGUAAAGCACUUUAAGCGAGGAGGAGGCUCUUCUAGUUAAUACCUAGGAUGAGUGGACGUUACUCGCAGAAUAAGCACCGGCUAACUCUGUGCCAGCAGCCGCGGUAAUACAGAGGGUGCGAGCGUUAAUCGGAUUUACUGGGCGUAAAGCGUGCGUAGGCGGCUGAUUAAGUCGGAUGUGAAAUCCCUGAGCUUAACUUAGGAAUUGCAUUCGAUACUGGUCAGCUAGAGUAUGGGGGAGGAUGGUGGAAUUCCAGGUGGAGCGGUGAAAUGCGUAGAGAUCUGGAGGAAUACCGAUGGCGAAGGCAGCCAUCUGGCCUAAUACUGACGCUGAGGUACGAAAGCAUGGGGAGCAAACAGG
rnacentral:rRNA from 1 species